AUUGAACGCUGGCGGCAGGCCUAACACAUGCAAGUCGAACGGCAGCACAGAAGAGCUUGCUCUUUGGGUGGCGAGUGGCGGACGGGUGAGUAAUGUCUGGGAAACUGCCCGAUGGAGGGGGAUAACUUCUGGAAACGGUAGCUAAUACCGCAUAACGUCGCAAGACCAAAGUGGGGGACCUUCGGGCCUCACACCCUCGGAUGUGCCCAGAUGGGAUUAGCUAGUAGGUGGGGUAAUGGCUCACCUAGGCGACGAUCCCUAGCUGGUCUGAGAGGAUGACCAGCCACACUGGAACUGAGACACGGUCCAGACUCCUACGGGAGGCAGCAGUGGGGAAUAUUGCACAAUGGGCGCAAGCCUGAUGCAGCCAUGCCGCGUGUAUGAAGAAGGCCUUCGGGUUGUAAAGUACUUUCAGCGGGGAGGAAGGCGGUGAGGUUAAUAACCUUGCCGAUUGACGUUACCCGCAGAAGAAGCACCGGCUAACUCCGUGCCAGCCGCCGCCGUAA
rnacentral:rRNA from 1 species